ACGCUGGCGGCACGCCUUAUACAUGCAAGUCGAACGAAGUAGCAAUACUUAGUGGCAGACGGGUGAGUAACAUGUAGGUAUCUUCCCUUUGGUGAGGAAUAACACGAGGAAACUUGUGCUAAUACCUCAUAAGUCUUUACGGAGAAAGCUUUAUGCGCCGAAGGAUGAGCCUGCAUUUGAUUAGUUUGUUGGUGGGGUAAUGGCCUACCAAGACUUUGAUCAAUAGCUGAUCUGAGAGGAUGAUCAGCCACAUUGGGACUGAGACACGGCCCAAACUCCUACGGGAGGCAGCAGUAGGGAAUAUUGCACAAUGGAGGAAACUCUGAUGCAGCGAUGCCGCGUGAGUGAAGAAGGCCCUUGGGUUGUAAAGCUCUUUCGUCGGGGAAGAAAAUGACUGUACCCGAAUAAGAAGGUCCGGCUAACUUCGUGCCAGCAGCCGCGGUAAUACGAAGGGACCUAGCGUAGUUCGGAAUUACUGGGCUUAAAGAGUUCGUAGGUGGUUAAAAAAGUUGGUGGUGAAAUCCCAGAGCUUAACUCUGGAACUGCCAUCAAAACUUUUUAGCUAGAGUGUGAUAGAGGAAAGCAGAAUUUCUAGUGUAGAGGUGAAAUUCGUAGAUAUUAGAAAGAAUACCAAUUGCGAAGGCAGCUUUCUGGAUCAUUACUGACACUGAGGAACGAAAGCAUGGGUAGCGAAGAGGAUUAGAUACCCUCGUAGUCCAUGCCGUAAACGAUGUGUGUUAGACGUUGGAAAUUUAUUUUCAGUGUCGCAGCGAAAGCAUUAAACACACCGCCUGGGGAGUACGACCGCA
rnacentral:rRNA from 1 species